rnacentral:rRNA from 1 species
UACGUAGGCAGCGAGCGUUGUUCGGAGUUACUGGGCGUAAAGGGUGCGUAGGCGGUUGUUUAAGUUUGGUGUGAAAUCUCCCGGCUCAACUGGGAGGGUGCGCCGAAUACUGAAUGACUAGAGUGCGGGAGAGGAGAGUGGAAUUCCUGGUGUAGCGGUGAAAUGCGUAGAUAUCAGGAGGAACACCGGUGGUGUAGACGGCUCUCUGGACCGUAACUGACGCUGAGGAGCGAAAGCGUGGGGAGCGAACAGG